rnacentral:rRNA from 1 species
GAUGAACGCUGGCGGCGUGCCUAAUACAUGCAAGUCGAGCGAACGGACGCGGAGCUUGCUUUUUUGAUGUUAGCGGCGGACGGGUGAGUAACACGUGGAUAACCUACCUAUAAGACUGGGAUAACUUCGGGAAACCGGAGCUAAUACCGGAUAAUAUUUUGAACCGUAUGGUUCAAAAGUGAAAGACGGUCUUGCUGUCACUUAUAGAUGGAUCCGAGCUGCAUUAGGUGGUUGGUAAGGUAACGGGCUAUCAAGGCAACGAGGCAUAGCCGACGUGUGGGGGGGAUCGGCCACCUUGGAGGGGAGACACGGUCCUGACUCCUACGGUAGGCAGCAGUAGGGAACCUUCCGCAAUGGGCGAGAGCCUUGCGGAGCAGCGCCGCGUGAGUUAUAGAGGUCUUCGGAGCGGAAAGCUCUGUUAUUAGUGAAGAACAUAUGUGUAAUUAGCUGAGCACAUCUUGACGGUACCUAAUCAGAAAGCCACGGCUAACUACGUG